rnacentral:tRNA from 1 species
GCGCCGUUAGCUCAGUUGGUAGAGCAACUGCCUUUUAAGCAGAAGGUCACAGGUUCGAAUCCUGUACGGCGUA